rnacentral:lncRNA from 1 species
GUGUCAAGCAAGGUACGGGUGUCAAGCAAGGUACGGGUGUCAAGCGAGGUACGGGUGUCAAGCAAGGUACGGGUGUCAAGCGAGGUACGUGUGUCAAGCAAGGUACGGGUGUUAGGCAAGGUACGUGUGUCAAGCAAGGUACGGGUGUCAAGCGAGGUACGGGUGUCAAGCAAGGUACGGGUGUUAGGCAAGGUACGGGUGUCAAGCAAGGUACGUGUGUCAAGCAAGGUACGUGUGUUAGGCAAGGUACGUGUGUCAAGCAAGGUACGGGUGUUA